GAAAUGCGAUAAGUAAUGUGAAUUGCAGAAUUCAGUGAAUCCUCGAAUCUUUGAACGCACAUUGCGCCCGCCAGUAUUCUGGCGGGCAUGCCUGUCCGAGCGUCAUUUCAACCAUCAAGCCCCCGGGCUUGUGUUGGGGACCUGCGGCUGCCCGCAGGCCCUGAAAACCAGUGGCGGGCUCGCUGUCACACCGAGCGUAGUAGCAAUCACCUCGCUCAGGGCGUGCUGCGGGUUCCGGCCGUUAAACAGCCUUACAAAACCCAAGGUUGACCUCGGAUCAGGUAGGAAGACCCGCUGAACUUAAGC
rnacentral:misc_RNA from 1 species